GAUGAACGCUAGCUACAGGCUUAACACAUGCAAGUCGAGGGGCAGCACUAGGUAGCAAUACUGAGGUGGCGACCGGCGCACGGGUGCGUAACGCGUAUCCAACCUUCCCGUUACUCUUGGAUAGCCUUCCGAAAGGGAGAUUAAUACAAGAUGGUAUUCAAAUUCCGCAUGUUAUUUGAAUUAAAGAUUUAUCGGUAACGGAUGGGGAUGCGUGACAUUAGAUAGUAGGCGGGGUAACGGCCCACCUAGUCUACGAUGUCUAGGGGUUCUGAGAGGAAGGUCCCCCACACUGGAACUGAGACACGGUCCAGACUCCUACGGGAGGCAGCAGUGAGGAAUAUUGGUCAAUGGUCGGAAGACUGAACCAGCCAAGUAGCGUGAAGGAUGAAGGUUCUAUGGAUUGUAAACUUCUUUUAUACGGGAAUAAAACACCUUACAUGUAGGGUCUUGUAUGUACCGUAUGAAUAAGCAUCGGCUAACUCCGUGCCAGCAGCCGCCGCGGUAA
rnacentral:rRNA from 1 species